GAUGAACGCUGUCGGCGUGCCUAAUACAUGCAAGUCGAGCGAACGAACGAGAAGCUUGCUUCUCUGAUGUUAGCGGCGGACGGGUGAGUAACACGUGGAUAACCUACCUAUAAGACUGGGAUAACUUCGGGAAACCGGAGCUAAUACCGGAUGAUAUUUUGAACCGCAUUGUUCAAAAGUGAAAGACGGUCUUUCUGUCACUUAUAGAUGGAUCCGCGCUGCAUUAGCUAGUUGGUAAGGUAACGGCUUACCAAGGCAACGAUGCAUAGCCGACCUGAGAGGGUGAUCGGCCACACUGGAACUGAGACACGGUCCAGACUCCUACGGGAGGCAGCAGUAGGGAAUCUUCCGCAAUGGGCGAAAGCCUGACGGAGCAACGCCGCGUGAGUGAUGAAGGUCUUCGGAUCGUAAAACUCUGUUAUUAGGGAAGAACAAAAGUGUAAGUAACUGUGCACAUCUUGACGGUACCUAAUCAGAAAGCCACGGCUAACUACGUG
rnacentral:rRNA from 1 species